GACGAACGCUGGCGGCGUGCUUAACACAUGCAAGUCGAACGGAAAGGCCCUGCUUUUGUGGGGUGCUCGAGUGGCGAACGGGUGAGUAACACGUGAGUAACCUGCCCUUGACUUUGGGAUAACUUCAGGAAACUGGGGCUAAUACCGGAUAGGAGCUCCUGCUGCAUGGUGGGGGUUGGAAAGUUUCGGCGGUUGGGGAUGGACUCGCGGCUUAUCAGCUUGUUGGUGGGGUAGUGGCUUACCAAGGCUUUGACGGGUAGCCGGCCUGAGAGGGUGACCGGCCACAUUGGGACUGAGAUACGGCCCAGACUCCUACGGGAGGCAGCAGUGGGGAAUAUUGCACAAUGGGCGGAAGCCUGAUGCAGCAACGCCGCGUGCGGGAUGACGGCCUUCGGGUUGUAAACCGCUUUCGCCUGUGACGAAGCGUGAGUGACGGUAAUGGGUAAAGAAGCACCGGCUAACUACGUGCCAGCAGCCGCGGUGAUACGUAGGGUGCGAGCGUUGUCCGGAUUUAUUGGGCGUAAAGGGCUCGUAGGUGGUUGAUCGCGUCGGAAGUGUAAUCUUGGGGCUUAACCCUGAGCGUGCUUUCGAUACGGGUUGACUUGAGGAAGGUAGGGGAGAAUGGAAUUCCUGGUGGAGCGGUGGAAUGCGCAGAUAUCAGGAGGAACACCAGUGGCGAAGGCGGUUCUCUGGGCCUUUCCUGACGCUGAGGAGCGAAAGCGUGGGGAGCGAACAGGCUUAGAUACCCUGGUAGUCCACGCUGUAAACGGUGGGUACUAGGUGUGGGGUCCAUUCCACGGGUUCCGUGCCGUAGCUAACGCUUUAAGUACCCCGCCUGGGGAGUACGGCCGCAAGGCUAAAACUCAAAGGAAUUGACGGGGCCCCGCACAAGCGGCGGAGCAUGCGGAUUAAUUCGAUGCAACGCGUAGAACCUUACCUGGGUUUGACAUGGAUCGGGAGUGCUCAGAGAUGGGUGUGCCUCUUUUGGGGUCGGUUCACAGGUGGUGCAUGGCUGUCGUCAGCUCGUGUCGUGAGAUGUUGGGUUAAGUCCCGCAACGAGCGCAACCCUUGUUCACUGUUGCCAGCACGUUAUGGUGGGGACUCAGUGGAGACCGCCGGGGUCAACUCGGAGGAAGGUGGGGACGACGUCAAGUCAUCAUGCCCCUUAUGUCCAGGGCUUCACGCAUGCUACAAUGGCCGGUACAGAGAGUGGCGAGCCUGUGAGGGUGAGCGAAUCUCGGAAAGCCGGUCUCAGUUCGGAUUGGGGUCUGCAACUCGACCUCAUGAAGUCGGAGUCGCUAGUAAUCGCAGAUCAGCAACGCUGCGGCGAAUACGUUCCCGGG
rnacentral:rRNA from 1 species